GGGCCGGCGCGCUCCCUCACCCGCCCCAACAACGUCAGCAGCGGCUCGAUACCUCCUGGGCUGACUGGGCGAGCUCCGCCUCCUCCUGCCGCCGCUGGGCGGGCUCUUCGGGCCAGGGCCUCCCACUGCAGCGACGGAGUCCCAACAGGGUGUCAGUCGUGAUAGAUGAUGGUUUUGUGAUACGAACACCUGUCCAUUGGGAGCCGUACAGGGACCAACUCAUUUCACACAAGCCACUGAAGAGCCAUCAGAUGGUAAUGACUUUCAGUCCCUAUUGACCUGGGCCAAUUUGAAUCGGUGAUCUAGGGGUGAAAGGCUCUAUAUUCCAUUACCAGUUUUCUGAGCCAUCAAGUCUACUCCAUUCCACCCCCACUACUACUGUACUGAUAUACUUUAUAGCAUUUUUCUAAAUGCUAUCAUCCAUACAGAUGUCUGCCGUCAUUUGUUGAUACAGCCAAUCAAUACUACAUUAAAUGUUACUUUUCAGUUUA